CCGGCACGGGUGAGUAACACGUAUCCAACCUGCCGUCUACUCUUGGACAGCCUUCUGAAAGGAAGAUUAAUACAAGAUGGCAUCAUGAGUCCGCAUGUUCACAUGAUUAAAGGUAUUCCGGUAGACGAUGGGGAUGCGUUCCAUUAGAUAGUAGGCGGGGUAACGGCCCACCUAGUCUUCGAUGGAUAGGGGUUCUGAGAGGAAGGUCCCCCACAUUGGAACUGAAACACGGUCCAA
rnacentral:rRNA from 1 species